rnacentral:rRNA from 1 species
GUCCGUAACGAGCGCAACCCUUGUCCUUAGUUACCAGCACGUUAUGGUGGGCACUCUAAGGAGACUGCCGGUGACAAACCGGAGGAAGGUGGGGAUGACGUCAAGUCAUCAUGGCCCUUACGGCCUGGGCUACACACGUGCUACAAUGGUCGGUACAAAGGGUUGCCAAGCCGCGAGGUGGAGCUAAUCCCAUAAAACCGAUCGUAGUCCGGAUCGCAGUCUGCAACUCGACUGCGUGAAGUCGGAAUCGCUAGUAAUCGUGAAUCAGAAUGUCACGGUGAAUACCGGUUCCCGGGCCUU